rnacentral:sRNA from 1 species
AAAGAAAACGUAUAAAAAUAAGAAAUUUAAGUUUUUUUUUCUUUCCCCGCAGCAAAAGUGAUUUAUUGAAAGACAUUCCAACAUUAGACGCUACCGCUGGCAGCGUGGGCUCUCCAUUUAAACGUACCGGCGGCAACAAUAUGCCGGUGGUAAGUAAAACUGUGAAAGAUAAUGAAAUCGAUGAAAUGGAAGCAUGGUUAGGCAGCGCU